rnacentral:rRNA from 1 species
UACGUAGGGUGCAAGCGUUGUCCGGAAUUAUUGGGCGUAAAGAGCUUGUAGGCGGUUUGUCGCGUCUGCUGUGAAAUUUCGGGGCUCAACCCCGAACUUGCAGUGGGUACGGGCAGACUAGAGUGUGGUAGGGGAGACUGGAAUUCCUGGUGUAGCGGUGAAAUGCGCAGAUAUCAGGAGGAACACCGGUGGCGAAGGCGGGUCUCUGGGCCGACAUUGACGCUGAGGAGCGAAAGCGUGGGGAGCGAACAGG